rnacentral:rRNA from 2 species
GUCGAACGAGUUCUGAUUAUUGAAAGGUGCUUGCAUCUUGAUUUAAUUUUGAACGAGUGGCGGACGGGUGAGUAACACGUGGGUAACCUGCCCUUAAGUGGGGGAUAACAUUUGGAAACAGAUGCUAAUACCGCAUAAAUCCAAGAACCGCAUGGUUCUUGGCUGAAAGAUGGCGUAAGCUAUCGCUUUUGGAUGGACCCGCGGCGUAUUAGCUAGUUGGUGAGGUAACGGCUCACCAAGGCAAUGAUACGUAGCCGAACUGAGAGGUUGAUCGGCCACAUUGGGACUGAGACACGGCCCAAACUCCUACGGGAGGCAGCAGUAGGGAAUCUUCCACAAUGGACGCAAGUCUGAUGGAGCAACGCCGCGUGAGUGAAGAAGGCUUUCGGGUCGUAAAACUCUGUUGUUGGAGAAGAAUGGUCGGCAGAGUAACUGUUGUCGGCGUGACGGUAUCCAACCAGAAAGCCACGGCUAACUACGUGCCAGCAGCCGCGGUAAUACGUAGGUGGCAAGCGUUAUCCGGAUUUAUUGGGCGUAAAGCGAGCGCAGGCGGUUUUUUAAGUCUGAUGUGAAAGCCCUCGGCUUAACCGAGGAAGUGCAUCGGAAACUGGGAAACUUGAGUGCAGAAGAGGACAGUGGAACUCCAUGUGUAGCGGUGAAAUGCGUAGAUAUAUGGAAGAACACCAGUGGCGAAGGCGGCUGUCUGGUCUGUAACUGACGCUGAGGCUCGAAAGCAUGGGUAGCGAACAGGAUUAGAUACCCUGGUAGUCCAUGCCGUAAACGAUGAAUGCUAGGUGUUGGAGGGUUUCCGCCCUUCAGUGCCGCAGCUAACGCAU